GAUGAACGCUGGCGGCGUGCUUAACACAUGCCAGUCGAACGGUGAAGGCGGAGCUUGCUCUGCUGGAUCAGUGGCGAACGGGUGAGUAACACGUGAGCAAUCUGCCCCUGACUCUGGGAUAAGCGCUGGAAACGGCGUCUAAUACUGGAUACGAGCUGCUAAGGCAUCUUCAGCAGCUGGAAAGAACUUCGGUCCGGGAUGAGCUCGCGGCCUCUCAGCUUGUUGGUGAGGUAACGGCUCACCAAGGCGACGACGGGUAGCCGGCCUGAGAGGGGGAUCGGCCACAGGGGAACGGAGACGGGGGCAAGAGGGCUGAGGGAGGCAGCAGUAGGGAAUGUGCCGCAAUGGGGGAAAGUAUGACGGAGCAAGGCAGCGUGAGGGAUGAAGGUAUUCGGAGCGUAAAAAUGUGUUAUUAGGGAAGAACAAAUGUGAAAGGAAAUGUGGACGUAUGGACGGUACCUAAUGAGAAAGCCACGGAUAACUACGUG
rnacentral:rRNA from 1 species